GGAAUCAUUGGGUUUAAAGGGUCCGUAGGCGGGCGUCUAAGUCAGUGGUGAAAUCUCGCGGCUCAACCGUGAAAUUGCCAUUGAUACUGGUCGCCUUGAAUUAGUGUGAAGUGGCUAGAAUAUGUAGUGUAGCGGCGAAAUGCUUAGAUAUUACAUAGAAUACCGAUUGCGAAGGCAGGUCACUAACACUAUAUUGACGCUGAUGGACGAAAGCGUGGGGAGCGAACAGGAUUAGAUACCCUGGUAGUCCACGCCGUAAACGAUGGAUACUAGCUGUCCGUCCCGAGUUGUCGGGAUGGGUGGCCAAGCGAAAGUGAUAAGUAUCCCACCUGGGGAGUACGUUCGCAAGAAUGAAACUCAAAGGAAUUGACGGGGGCCCGCACAAGCGGUGGAGCAUGUGGUUUAAUUCGAUGAUACGCGAGGAACCUUACCAGGGCUUGAAUGCAGUGCGACAGGGGCGGAAACGCCCCCUUCCUCGGACGCAUUGCAAGGUGCUGCAUGGUUGUCGUCAGCUCGUGCCGUGAGGUGUCAGGUUAAGUCCUAUAACGAGCGCAACCCCUGCCGCUAGUUGCCAGCAUGUAAAGAUGGGAACUCUAGCGGGACUGCCGGUGCAAACCGUGAGGAAGGUGGGGAUGACGUCAAAUCACCACGGCCCUUACGUCCUGGGCCACACACGUGCUACAAUGGCCGGUACAAUGGGCAGCCACGCCGCAAGGCGGAGCGAAUCCACAAAACCGGUCUCAGUUCGGAUCGGGGUCUGCAACUCGACCCCGUGAAGCUGGAAUCGCUAGUAAUCGGAUAUCAGCCAUGAUCCGGUGAAUACGUUCCCGGGCCUUGUACACACCGCCCGUCAAGCCAUGGAAGCCGGAAGCACCUGAAGUCCGUCACCGCGAGGAGCGGCCUAGGGUGAAGCUGGUAACUGGGGCUAAGUCGUAACAAGGUAGCCGUA
rnacentral:rRNA from 1 species